CAAGUACUCCCACCGUCCCAUAUUAAGCGUCUGAAAUUUGCCGAAAUAUGGAUGUAUCUAUACCUAAAAGGCGUCUAGAUACAUGCAAUAUUUCGACACUUAAUAUGGGACGGAGGGAGUACUAC
rfam:Brachypodium distachyon strain Bd21 chromosome 3, whole genome shotgun sequence.